AUUAAACGCUGGCGGCAUGCCUUACACAUGCAAGUCGAACGGCAGCACGGGGGCAACCCUGGUGGCGAGUGGCGAACGGGUGAGUAAAGCAUCGGAACGUGCCCUGGAGUGGGGGAUAACGUAGCGAAAGUUACGCUAAUACCGCAUAUUCUGUGAGCAGGAAAGCAGGGGAUCGCAAGACCUUGCGCUCUGGGAGCGGCCGAUGUCGGAUUAGCUAGUUGGUGGGGUAAAGGCCUACCAAGGCGACGAUCCGUAGCGGGUCUGAGAGGAUGAUCCGCCACACUGGGACUGAGACACGGCCCAGACUCCUACGGGAGGCAGCAGUGGGGAAUUUUUGGGACAAUGGGCGAAAGCCUGAUCCAGCCAUGCCGCGUGAGUGAAGAAGGCCUCGGUGUAAG
rnacentral:rRNA from 1 species